UUUACAGACAAGUUUACAAGUCAUCCUAUGUGCAAUCGGCUGUGUGUUUAUUACAUCGCCUGCCUUCACGUCUGCUGACUAAAACGGGAAAUUAACGGGACAUCCUUUCUCAAGGCUUAAAAACAUCCAGAAGAUUAAAAAUAGCCUGAGACUUAAAAACUUCUUCACCUGAUCUCAUGUUUCUUCUCUUCUUCUAUAUCCUCCCAGCAUCAGACUGGGUCCUAGUUACUGCACCCCAGCUUCAGUCACAGGUGGGGACUAACCCCAUUUUCUUCCCAGGAGAAGCAAAUGGCAUUUGUCAUUGGUGACAAGACAGAUUUCCUGGCUAAAGUGAAGCAAACCUUAUCAAACUUUCAUGUAAGAGAAUGGGGUUGUAAGUCUUGCUGAACUCUCUGAUGAUUCAGAAGAUGGAAAAAAGUCGGCUCUGUUCACUCAAACGCUUAGAGUUACAAAAGAAGAAAAUAGAAUGAAAAGCCAUGAGACUCUUGAAAGCCACCGAAACUAGAAUGCUUAUUUAAUUUUAUAUAAGAUAUCCUGUUAAAAAAAAAAAUAGCAUUUUUUAGCCAAACCCUGUUCUUGACACAAUCUCAUUUUUUAUAGAAAAAACUUCCAGAUGACAGUUUUCAAAUGCAACAGUUGUAGGAAUGACAGAACAGUUGGAGCAGUGAAGCUUUAAGCUAUUGUUCUUUUCCUUGGGGUAGCCUUGAAAGAAUACAUUCAUGCACUUAGCAAGGCUGAACAAUUUUUAAGCAGAUGACUAAAAUUUAAUUUUUUUUUUAUUGCCAUCAAUCAUCAAGAUAAAUAUCUUGAUUCUGAACAGUCUUGUAGUCAUUUGCAAAUAUGGAGGGUAAGUAUAAAAUGCUACUAGACAGUGUAAAUGGUUGCAGAAUUCUGUGUUGAGAACAAUUUGCAUAUAUGUUUGCUGAGUUUGCCUAAAUACAAAUUUGUGUGAUACAGUAGUGCGAUGGAAGAGUGGACAGUCAAACUCCAUAGCAGUGUUUUGAUCACAGUUGAUGAUAUUCAACUGGGAGCUGAGAGGAGUCUGUUCUGUUUCAGUCAUGUUUUGUUACACACACACACACACACAUAUCAGUAUCUGCAAUCUGCAUUUUUUGAGACAAUAUCACAUCAUCUAAAAAGAGAAGUGAAAGUGGCCUUUGCUAGUAAACAGUCAAUGGGCAUGGCAAUCAGAUUGUAUCAAAUAAUUAAUCUGAAAUAAUGACAUCUACACAGGAAGAAACCAUCAGUUUGGCAACUGAUAAGAUGGGAUCCAUUUGCUAGUGUUGGAGAAAGGUUUUCAUUAUGAAAGAAAAACUAACCUUGAGAUGAAAGCCAUCUAAACUGUACACUUAUGAGGACAGGCUCUGGUUUAGCAAGUAGCUGCUAAAUUCAGUACAAUUUACAGUCCCACAGUCAUGAUUACGUUUUCCAUAGAAAGCAUGGGAAUUCAAAAGUUUCUAUUUGAGGAGUCAUUUCAUAUUACACCUUCAGGAGCCCAGAGGAUCUAAAUCACACAUGCUGUGUAUUUCUUUGAUAAGCCAAGCUGCCCUGGCUUCAAAAAGCGGCAGACCAAUGAUGCUGCUUCUGCCAGUGCACUGGGUUUGUAUUGAAAUCAGUGAGCUUUCCUGUGACUGAACCCAGACUGAAAUUCUCACGUUUCAAAUUCCUGCUCUUCUGUGUGCCACGUCACCUCUUCUCUCUGCCUGUCAGCGCAGUCUGUCUGUGUGUGUGGGUAACUGCCAUCAUGUGAUCUGCUCUUCCCUUAUCCUACGUGUCUAUUGCCUUAGGGACCACUGAAAAUGAUACCUGAUGUUUUGCAAAUCUCUGGGUGCAUGUGCAUAUGUAUGAGUACAUAUAUAUGUGCAUGUUCAUAGAAUAUAAUGUGUAUUUAUGCCAAUGUCCAGGUAGACAAAAUAAAUUGUGAUUAAGCUCUA